UACGGAGGGUGCAAGCGUUAUCCGGAUUUAUUGGGUUUAAAGGGUGCGUAGGCGGACCUGUAAGUCAGUGGUGAAAUCCUGCAGCUUAACUGUAGAACUGCCAUUGAUACUGUUGGUCUUGAGUACAGUUGAGGUAGGCGGAAUGAGUAGUGUAGCGGUGAAAUGCUUAGAUAUUACUCAGAACACCGAUUGCGAAGGCAGCUUACUAAACUGUUACUGACGCUGAUGCACGAAAGCGUGGGGAGCGAACAGG
rnacentral:rRNA from 1 species